UACGUAGGUGGCAAGCGUUGUCCGGAAUUAUUGGGCGUAAAGCGCGCGCAGGCGGUCCUUUAAGUCUGAUGUGAAAGCCCACGGCUCAACCGUGGAGGGUCAUUGGAAACUGGGGGACUUGAGUGCAGGAGAGAAGAGUGGAAUUCCACGUGUAGCGGUGAAAUGCGUAGAGAUGUGGAGGAACACCAGUGGCGAAGGCGGGUCUCUGGACAGUUCCUGACGCUGAGGAGCGAAAGCGUGGGGAGCGAACAGG
rnacentral:rRNA from 1 species